UACGGAGGGGGCUAGCGUUGUUCGGAAUUACUGGGCGUAAAGCGCACGUAGGCGGCUUUGUAAGUUAGAGGUGAAAGCCCGGGGCUCAACUCCGGAAUUGCCUUUAAGACUGCAUCGCUAGAAUUGUGGAGAGGUAAGUGGAAUUCCGAGUGUAGAGGUGAAAUUCGUAGAUAUUCGGAAGAACACCAGUGGCGAAGGCGACUCACUGGACACAUAUUGACGCUGGGGUGCGAAAGCGUGGGGAGCAAACAGG
rnacentral:rRNA from 1 species